rnacentral:tRNA from 1 species
CUGGGGAGCAGGUGACGGCUGGGGGUUCGAUUCCAACCCC